UACGGGGGGAGCAAGCGUUGUUCGGAUUUACUGGGCGUAAAGGGCGCGUAGGCGGCCACUGCAAGUCGGUUGUGAAAUCUCCGGGCUUAACCCGGAAAGGUCAAUCGAUACUGCAGGGCUAGAGUGCAGAAGGGGCAACUGGAAUUCUCGGUGUAGCGGUGAAAUGCGUAGAUAUCGAGAGGAACACCUGCGGCAAAGGCGGGUUGCUGGGCCGACACUGACGCUGAUGCGCGAAAGCCAGGGGAGCGAACGGG
rnacentral:rRNA from 1 species